rnacentral:rRNA from 1 species
GACGAACGCUGGCGGCGCGCCUAACACAUGCAAGUCGAACGAGAGAUGAAGAGCUUGCUCUUCAGAUCGAGUGGCGAACGGGUGAGUAACGCGUGAGGAACCUGCCUCAAAGAGGGGGACAACAGUUGGAAACGACUGCUAAUACCGCAUAAGCCCACAGCUCGGCAUCGAGCAGAGGGAAAAGGAGCAAUCCGCUUUGAGAUGGCCUCGCGUCCGAUUAGCUAGUUGGUGAGGUAACGGCCCACCAAGGCGACGAUCGGUAGCCGGACUGAGAGGUUGAACGGCCACAUUGGGACUGAGACACGGCCCAGACUCCUACGGGAGGCAGCAGUGGGGAAUAUUGCACAAUGGGGGAAACCCUGAUGCAGCGACGCCGCGUGGAGGAAGAAGGUCUUCGGAUUGUAAACUCCUGUUGUUGAGGAAGAUAAUGACGGUACUCAACAAGGAAGUGACGGCUAACUACGUGCCAGCAGCCGCGGU